UUGUAAAGCUGUCCAGAAAGCCUUGAAUUCAGGAGUGCUCCCUUAUUGUAAGGGAAAGAGCUGUCUGUAAGGCUGUUUGGGAGACACAGGAAGGAGUGAAGCAAGAAAGCAGCUGGCCUCACUGCGCUGAAACACCCAAAUUGGACCCUUGGGGGCUGGAUUGGUGCACAGACUAAGUUGAAUUGCAUGGAGAGACAAGCAGGAGCACUGUAGGCGUGGUAAAGCGCCUGUUUGGAAGUGUCUGCUCACCAAAG
rnacentral:lncRNA from 1 species